rnacentral:rRNA from 1 species
AGAGUUUGAUCAUGGCUCAGAUUGAACGCUGGCGGUAGGCUUAACACAUGCAAGUCGUGCGAGAAAGUAUCUUCGGAUAUGAGUAGAGCGGCGGACGGGUGAGUAACGCGUAGGAAUCUACCUAGUAGAAGGGGAUAGCCCGAGGAAACUCGGAUUAAUACCGUAUACCUCCUUAGGGAGAAAGAGGGCCUCUCUUGAUGCUCUCGCUAUUAGAUGAGCCUGCGUAAGAUUAGCUUGUUGGUGAGGUAAUGGCUCACCAAGGCUACGAUCUUUAGCUGGUCUGAGAGGACGAUCAGCCACAUUGGGACUGAGACACGGCCCAGACUCCUACGGGAGGCAGCAGUGGGGAAUAUUGGACAAUGGGCGCAAGCCUGAUCCAGCCAUACCGCGUGUGUGAAGAAGGCCUUCGGGUUGUAAAGCACUUUAAGCAGGGAGAAAAAGUUAUAAGUUAAUACCUUAUAGCCGUGAUGUUACCUGCAGAAUAAGCACCGGCUAAUUCCGUGCCAGCAGCCGCGGUAAUACGGAAGGUGCAAGCGUUAAUCGGAAUUACUGGGCGUAAAGCGCGCGUAGGUGGUUUGUUAAGUUGGAUGUGAAAGCCCUGGGCUCAACCUAGGAACUGCAUCCAAAACUAACUCACUAGAGUACGAUAGAGGGAGGUAGAAUUCAUAGUGUAGCGGUGGAAUGCGUAGAUAUUAUGAAGAAUACCGGUGGCGAAGGCGGCCUCCUGGAUCUGUACUGACACUGAGGUGCGAAAGCGUGGGUAGCGAACAGGAUUAGAUACCCUGGUAGUCCACGCCGUAAACGAUGACAACUAGCUGUUGGGAGACAAUGUCUUUCAGUGGCGCAGCUAACGUUUUAAGUUGUCCGCCUGGGGAGUACGGCCGC